GACGAACGCUGGCGGCGUGCUUAACACAUGCAAGUCGAACGGAAAGGCCCUGCUUUUGUGGGGUGCUCGAGUGGCGAACGGGUGAGUAACACGUGAGUAACCUGCCCUUGACUUUGGGAUAACUUCAGGAAACUGGGGCUAAUACCGGAUAGGAGCUCCUGCUGCAUGGUGGGGGUUGGAAAGUUUCGGCGGUUGGGGAUGGACUCGCGGCUUAUCAGCUUGUUGGUGGGGUAGUGGCUUACCAAGGCUUUGACGGGUAGCCGGCCUGAGAGGGUGACCGGCCACAUUGGGACUGAGAUACGGCCUAGACUCCUACGGGAGGCGGCAGUGGGGAAUAUUGCACAAUGGGCGGAAGCCUGAUGCAGCAACGCCGCGUGCGGGAUGACGGCCUUCGGGUUGUAAACCGCUUUCGCCUGUGACGAAGCGUGAGUGACGGUAAUGGGUAAAGAAGCACCGGCUAACUACGUG
rnacentral:rRNA from 1 species